UCUACUGUCGCGAGUUGCCAGGAGCAGACCCUGAUGCCAGCACAUGUUCGGCCUGUGCAGUCAGCGUGACAUCGUGCUGAGGCUGACAUCCUGCCUCUACACCUGAAAGCCCUGCUUAGAAGUCCUGGACAUACACGGAUCAUCCAGAGGAGCCAGGAGACAAGAGGAAAGGUCUCAUCAUCACUACAUUGCAUGGACACAAUCCCCUGUCAGCUUUAUGCAUUACUGACCUCCACAGGCAUUGUAAGGGAAGACACAGCAGGAAGACAUGAAGAUGAAGACUACAUGAACCAGAGGAAAUUCUUGGAGCAGAGGGGGAUGUCUGAAUUUUCAUAGACAUCCAGCAAAGGUUUGAAGGUUUAAAGUUCUUUGAGUAUCUAGAAUACAGUAGGUUUUAAUCUGGAUAA